rnacentral:tRNA from 1 species
GCACCCGUAGCUCAAUUGGAUAGAGCAUCUGACUACGAAUCAGAAGGUUUUAGGUUCAAGUCCUAACGGGUGCACCA